GGUCAGUUGCUACUCUUUUUUGUUAAAUUUUUCUGUUGUUUCAAAAUCCACCAUGACACAAGUAAUAAACGGUGCAUUUUAUGAAAGCCGAUACUAGCUUGCAUCUCAUCCUUGUCUUCUUUUCUGUCUUCUCACAUUGAUCACCGUAAUUUGCUUGCUUCAAUGCUUAAAAUCCUAAACAAGCUCGUAUAUUAUUAUUUUCUAAUCCAUUAUAAUAAAGUAAUUAUUAGUGGUAGAAUAGAUUAUCUUCCUUGUUAGACUUUGUAGUGUCAUCUGGUUAGUAAUUUUUCCUAACUCAUAUAGGUGGAUAAGGGAUCAGCAGAA
rnacentral:misc_RNA from 1 species